GCACAGAGAGGGAGAGAUGCGCAGAGAGGGAGAGCUGCACAGCGCCUCUUCAGUGAAGCAGGAGGAGGAACAGAAGGGUCUCCUUCUGUUCCUCCUCCGGCUUCGCUGAACGGGCGUUGCGCAGCUCUCCGUCUCUGCACAGCGCCAUCCGC
rnacentral:miRNA from 1 species